rnacentral:lncRNA from 1 species
UAAGAGGCACUACAUGACUAUUCGCAUGGCCAUUCCCGUCAGCUGCCGGAACUCCAUUUUCGUUUUCCAUCCUUGCAAAAUAAUAGUACUUUUCGGGUUAGAAAUUAAAUCAUUAUCCAAUUCGGAUGUCGUUUAUGCAUGCCUAACCCAAUCACUAGUAUGCCCUAAAUACCUCUUAAGGUAUAACUUAAUUAUCCGGUUUCAGGUCUUAAAGGUAGAGUAUCUAAUAGGUCUCCCAUAUAGAUCUCUAACCUAGCGCUCUGAUACCAACUAUGACGCCCCC